CCCUCGUUAGAGCCCACUGUGAUCCCGGCGCUCGUUAGUCCCGCGGGUGAUUAAUUGAAAUUAAUUGAAAAGCCGGUGACAUUUACCAGCGUGCUUGAGCGGAAGUAUCGAGAGAUAAUCUCGCAGUCGUGAUUUUGGAGGUAAAUCUGCGGCUGUGGGUCUGAUUGAGGUCACCGUCAGCGGCUUCAAACUCACUGAACAGAAACACUUACUGCUCCGAGUACCGUGGUAAUGCUGUUUUACUAGAUAGACUGACUGCUGAUGGAAAAGCUCAAAUGAGUUCUGCUAGAAGUCAUGAUGUGAGCUGCUGUCAGACUACUGAAAAAUAAAGAGACUCUGAUGAUGAUCCUUCAGCUUCCUGUCGCCGUGGUAGCAACAGUCCUCUUUGCAUACGAUCGGUCUGUUGCCAUGGCAGCCGUGAUGAGCCGGGAGGAACCGUGGCGACCCCAGCGAGAGACCGUCUGUAUCUGUUACCAUGGAGCCCAGCGUGAGUGUAGCAGCGUCAAACCUGUUCAGAUUCAAACUCAGAAAGAUGCUAAUUUGCUUAGUCAAGGUUUUCACUGUCCAAAAUCUCCUUGACACUAAUUUACAGAACAAAGUACAAGUCAAGCAUCACGGUUACUGUUGCUACAGUGAUUUGGAACGAACCUCAGACAUUAAAUACUACACAGUUUGUAUCAUUUGUGUU